rnacentral:ncRNA from 2 species
GGGUUCUACCGUUGGUCGGGCUAACCAGUCUGUACUAGCGUGUAAAAUUCCUACCUUCUGGAGAACCAUCAUGUUAUUAAUUUAGCGUGGUGGGAAACCAGGACCUUUACCUUGAAAAAAUUAGAGUGUUCAAAGCAGGCUUACGUCUGAAUACAUUAGCAUGGAAUAAUAGAAUAGGACGGUGGUCCUGUUUUGUUGGUUUCUGAAUCACCGUA